UACACCGGUCUUGUAAACCGGAAACGGAUACCUCUCCCCAGGGCA
rnacentral:tRNA from 1 species